GGAGUUUAGUUUUCAUUCAGGAAAGAGAGUUCAACCAGAUUUACCAACAGACCUUUUCAGUAAGCUUUCCAUCAAAUCCGAGCUCCAGUCUACUGAUGGAUCUCGCACAAGAUUGUUUCAACCAAAGGUCUCAAAGGAAAAUAGAAUGAACCCUUUCCAAGCUAGGAAUGAGGUAACAAGAAUGGCAGCAGUAAAACCAGUCUCUUCAGCUGGACAACAGAUACAAUUUAGUAAUAACGGAAUAACUCCCGAAACAAACCAGCAAUGGACCCCUAGGAGGAGCUUAGGCAUUCGCUGAUGGUACAGAUUACACAUUCGUAGGAUCUGGAAUCAUCUCCUUAUAUGUACAUUCGGAUAUCGUUCUCUUCUCAGUCUGA